rnacentral:lncRNA from 1 species
AUUGCAAUAAAAAUUCAUUGAAUUUAAAUGACUACUGUAGCUCUCAUAUACCAAUAUAAUCUAAACCAAUAACACCACUGUCAUUAUCAUUUACACAAAGUAUGUUUUUUGUAGUGCACCAAUUGUUUUGCCAAUCCGUUAACACAGGUCUAAAUAAAUAAGAAGAUGUGGUAUGAGACAGCUCUGUAUUCAAGUCACAAUGAGUUCACAUUUUAACGUUUCAUAUUUACCCAAUCGAUUUGAAGGUCACAUGCGGACAACAAUUCUAUCUUCAACAAUGAGGAAAAUGCAGUAGUAGAACGGAUGACUGAAAGCACAUCAGUAGAAUUAAUGUCAAAUAUUGGAUGAGAAAAGGACGGAUGAUGUAUCUGAAAGGACGGAAGAUGUAGCUGAAACAAAACUUAUUUUGAUUUGAAAACCUAAUUGCUAAAAAAGAAAUACAAAUAAUAUAAGUAACAAGUGCGAAAAUAAUGCACUGAUGAAGAGAUGAUCAUAGUUUCGAAAAAAAAGAAAAAUUCUAUCGUAAAAUGCAACAAAUUUGUUCACUUAGAACAUAACUAUAAUAAAUACUUUCAUACUAUUACUCUUGUUCAUCAUAUUUGUUGUUUUAUUCGAACCACUGGACCAAUCUACACAAAAUAUUGACAGCAAUAUUAAAAGGUGAUCUAUAACUAGUGCAAACAAUAUAAUAAUAAAAUAUAUAUAGUAACAAGAAUGAUAUAUUUAAGACGAUUGUCUUCACAUCUUCAGAAAUAAUGUUUAUUAAGCAACUGUAUAAUGUCUAGUGAAUUAUAUUCAUUUUGAAUGAAUCAAUAAAUAAUGAUAUAAUUUAUAUGCUAAAAAUAAAAGCCUCUAGAAAUCUCUAUUAUAUUAUUAAUUCCUUUUCAAGGAUAUUUCGUUUCAACCUUUCACACAUGUAUGCAAGUGACAUAAAAUUAAUACAAGUAAAAUUCGUUUUUAACAUUUGCAUAAAUAUCUUUAUACGCCGACGGUAUAUAUCGUUUGGUUUGUAAAACAUAUCCACUAAUGUUUACUAGAAACAACUACUGUAUACCAAGCUUUUAUGCAUACUGCCUUUGUCUUUAGUGUACAUACUGAAGUCGUCAUUAUUUCGAGAUUAUAUAUGAAAGAUUCUUAACUGAUCAGAUCGAUACAGAGCACAAAAACCCUAACAAAAACUCAGAUCUGAGAGUACUCGUCGUUACUUAAAGCUAGCUCAACGCCAGAAACAACUAAUAAAAUAAAUAUAUAAUCCUGUCUCUAAGACCCAAAUGUUUAAUUUGUAAAAUGUUUAUAUAUACUAUUUUAGCCAUUCCUGCAUAAGCUACCGAAAUAAAAAAAUUACGAGGACUGAUUAAUCAAAUGCUCCUAUCAAGCUUCUAUGCAUACUGCCUUUGUUUAAAACGAACCAUCUUUUCAUUUGAAUACAAAAAGACGUAUACUGUAAAUUUAAUUAUUCUUUCAAGUCAAUUACAUAAUUAAAUGCAUGUUUUUCCUUGUCAGAGAGUUUCAUUUGCUCUUAAGCUGUAGUUUUCUGACAUACAUUCUGGUAAAUUUCCAGAUGAUGAAUUUGUUUAGUUUCUACAGACAUUUGAGUUCGAAGAAUUUCAUGAUGGUUGACUAUAGACGAUUCCAACCUCUCUUAUAAUGUUAAUUAUCGUUAUUUCAGUUUACUAUGCUAAUUAUAUAUUUAUUUUCUCCUUAUCAAAUAUAGAGUAUACUUCAUACAAUGUAUGCCUUUCCUGGUAGAGCAAUGAAGAAUUAAUAAUAAAAUUUAGCACGCAAUAAAUUUAGUUUAAUUGUGAAUUAGCACUAUUUCUAUACAAGCUACAUGUAAAUGCAGACACAUUCCAAGCAUAUGAUUUUUAAUAUUGUACUAACAAAAAUAUAUCAUAACAUAAAAUGGCACUGGUGUCAUACGAACAAUAAUUUCAAAGACCAUGUAUUGAAAAUGAGAUAUACACAUUCUAAGAUAUCGUAUAAAUAAUUACUGCAUACCUAGUAAGUAAUUCAAAGAGUUAUCGUUUUAUUGCACAACCUUAUACAUUUU